GGUCCUGUGGCCGAGUGGUUAGGCAGAGCUCUGCAAAAGCUCCCACAGCGGUUCGAAUCCGCUCGGGACCU
rnacentral:tRNA from 1 species